GGAAUUACUGGGCGUAAAGCGAGCGUAGGUGGCUUGAUAAGUCAGAUGUGAAAGCCCCGGGCUUAACCUGGGAACGGCAUCUGAUACUGUUAGGCUAGAGUAGGUGAGAGGAAGGUAGAAUUCCAGGUGUAGCGGUGAAAUGCGUAGAGAUCUGGAGGAAUACCGAUGGCGAAGGCAGCCUUCUGGCAUCAUACUGACACUGAGGUUCGAAAGCGUGGGUAGCAAACAGGAUUAGAUACCCUGGUAGUCCACGCCGUAAACGAUGUCUACUAGUCGUUGGGUCCCUUGAGGACUUAGUGACGCAGCUAACGCAAUAAGUAGACCGCCUGGGGAGUACGGCCGCAAGGUUAAAACUCAAAUGAAUUGACGGGGGCCCGCACAAGCGGUGGAGCAUGUGGUUUAAUUCGAUGCAACGCGAAGAACCUUACCUGGUCUUGACAUAUCUAGAAUCCUGCAGAGAUGCGGGAGUGCCUUCGGGAAUUAGAAUACAGGUGCUGCAUGGCUGUCGUCAGCUCGUGUCGUGAGAUGUUGGGUUAAGUCCCGCAACGAGCGCAACCCUUGUCCUUAGUUACCAGCGGUUUGGCCGGGAACUCUAAGGAUACUGCCAGUGACAAACUGGAGGAAGGCGGGGACGACGUCAAGUCAUCAUGGCCCUUACGACCAGGGCUACACACGUGCUACAAUGGUAGGUACAGAGGGCAGCUACACAGCGAUGUGAUGCGAAUCUCAAAAAGCCUAUCGUAGUCCAGAUUGGAGUCUGCAACUCGACUCCAUGAAGUAGGAAUCGCUAGUAAUCGCGGAUCAGAAUGCCGCGGUGAAUACGUUCCCGGGCCUUGUACACACCGCCCGUCACACCAUGGGAGUUGAUUGCACCAGAAGUGGGUAGCCUA
rnacentral:rRNA from 1 species